CUCGCUCCAAACUCUAAGAAGUCACACAAAUGUUUAACUUCAGACCUGGCCACCUGCCCUAUUAAUAUGCUCAGUUGAAGUCUCCCCUGGGGGAGGACACGCUUGGCCCAGGUCUCUCAGUCAGGGCUCCAGCCCGGCUGUCUCCACGGGGCUUCCCUGGCAAAUGAGGCUGGAUGUUCCAGGAGGAAGAUAACUGCCAGCUGAUGGACCGGCAUGGAAGCCAGAGACCUGCUAAUUCUGCUAACUUCUCACCCUCCUGGAGCCAUCCAGCCAGCACCACUACAUCCCACCACCAGGGCCUCCUGCUCUCAAACUGCUCCCAUGUGCUCAGGACCAAACAUACCCCUUUUCCUGUCAAUCCAGAUAACACAGACUAGAUGUCUGGUGUGAAUGUCUGUCCAAAUAGAAUUAGGGCCUAAGAACUGUGUCUGCCUCACUCACUGAGUUAUGCUAAGUGUCUAAAAUAGUGUCUGGAUAUAGGGAGUGGGUGCUUAAGAUACAUUGUUGACUGAAUUAACUCCAACCAGAACCUUCCCAGAUAUCUGAGUGGGCCAGGAGCCCUCUGCUGCCCCCAGAGAUCCCGAAUCUGGCCACACCACGGACAAGGACCAGGACCCACCAGAUAAAAUCUCAAACUUCCUUUACUCAUGGGGGGGAAGAAAAAGUUGUUCCAUAUGAUUUUCUAAACUUGGAAAGGCCACAGGCCAGUGAUGGCUUUUCAUGGAGAAGAGAGAAAUAAUAACCAAGAACAACCACAGCACGUCCAGUAGCCCUUUAUGCAGAGCCAGGCACCAGGUAAGCACCUUCCAAGGAUUAUCCCAUUAGUUCCUACAAGAACCCUUUGAGAUUGAUCAUCUGUGACCCUACUUUCCAGAGGAACAAACUGAGGCUCAGAGAGAUGCAGUGAUGUUCGCAAGACACACACACAGCAUGCAGUGGGCAGAACCACCACUGUGCAGAGGAGGGGCGGGUGCUCACCUGAUGAACAGCUGGUCCACACCUGCUGGGUGGUGUUGAAGGCUGGGC
rnacentral:lncRNA from 12 species